rnacentral:rRNA from 1 species
AUACGGAGGGCGCAAGCGUUGUUCGGAAUUAUUGGGCGUAAAGAGCGUGUAGGCGGCUUGGUAAGUCGGGUGUGAAAGCCCGGGGCUCAACCCCGGAAUUGCAUUCGAAACUGCCUCGCUAGAGUCCCGGAGAGGAAGGCGGAAUUCUCGGUGUAGAGGUGAAAUUCGUAGAUAUCGAGAGGAACACCAGUGGCGAAGGCGGCCUUCUGGACGGUGACUGACGCUGAGACGCGAAAGCGUGGGGAGCAAACAGGAUUAGAGACCCCAGUAGUCC